AUUGAACGCUGGCGGCAGGCCUAACACAUGCAAGUCGAACGAGUGGCGGACGGGUGAGUAAUGUCUGGGAAACUGCCUGAUGGAGGGGGAUAACUACUGGAAACGGUAGCUAAUACCGCAUCCCUUCGAUUUUCCCCGAUGGGAUUAGCCUGUUGGUGGGGUAACGGCUCACCAAGGCGACGAUCCCUAGCUGGUCUGAGAGGAUGACCAGCCACACUGGAACUGAGACACGGUCCAGACUCCUACGGGAGGCAGCAGUGGGGAAUAUUGCACAAUGGGCGCAAGCCUGAUGCAGCCAUGCCGCGUGUAUGAAGAAGGCCUUCGGGUUGUAAAGUACUUUCAGCGGGGAGGCGUUACCCGCAGAAGAAGCACCGGCUAACUCCGUGCCAGCCGCCGCGGUAAUUC
rnacentral:rRNA from 1 species